AAACUAUGGAAAGCCGGUUUCGGGUCAUCUUUCCACUUUUCCAACCAACACAACUGUAGUUUUGAUUGAAAUAAACACGUAGUUCACCGAUUUAUGUGAAAAUAUGUCGGCUUUAUACACGCUAAAAGUAUUGUUUUUUGAAUGGAGUCUGGUAGGUUUAGCGCUAGCGACUUCAAAGCUGGUUCUGGUUUAACUGAAAGGUCUCAAAGA